rnacentral:lncRNA from 12 species
CUCCUAGCCUGGGAAUCCCGGGGCACUCUUGGUCCUGAUGCCAGGCCCAGGGGCCAGCGUCCUCCUCCAGACUUGCUUUUCCAAGAGGCCCCACCUCUGCCAGCUGGCUCGUCCGAGACAGAAAUUUUGUGCAAAUGUACACCUUUACCAGAAGAAUUUGAGAGGAUCUACUCACUACACUCUUAGCAGCUGUGGCGUCUCAAGACUCUUUCUCGGCCGUGGGCUCCGGACCUCACCAACAUUCCAAAACAGCAUCACAACUGGUUCUCAGAUCAAACAGCCCUUCAGGGAAGCCUUCCUGACACCCCCACCCGAUCGUCCCGGAAUCUAUUACGCACUUUUGUGGUACCCUGUGCCUCCCCUCCAGGCUCUUGCCUCGGUGGUUAAUAAGUACUCGUGUACUCACUUAAUGGGUGUCUGUGACUCCCCCAGACAGCGUCCCCCAAUGGGGGCCAGGGUCCCGCCGCCGAUGGCUGCUGUAACCCAACGCUGAGCAGCCGCUCCACUACACCAAGCAGGACAAGACGCUCCCAGAGCCCUGUCCGCUGGUGGCCCAGCUCCUCACUCUCAGCCUCAUCUACAACCCGUUAGUCAGGAGACCAAACGGUCUUUGUUUAGUUGAACAUAUACUGUACGUUAACUAACUGGAAAUUGAAUAAAAACAUUAAAACCCUCUUUGUCUGUAAUCA